UCACGCUAUCAGAUGAGCCUAGGUCGGAUUAGCUAGUUGGUGGGGUAAAGGCCUACCAAGGCGACGAUCCGUAACUGGUCUGAGAGGAUGAUCAGUCACACUGGAACUGAGACACGGUCCAGACUCCUACGGGAGGCAGCAGUGGGGAAUAUUGGACAAUGGGCGAAAGCCUGAUCCAGCCAUGCCGCGUGUGUGAAGAAGGUCUUCGGAUUGUAAAGCACUUUAAGUUGGGAGGAAGGGCAGUAAGUUAAUACCUUGCUGUUUUGACGUUACCAACAGAAUAAGCACCGGCUAACUUCGUGCCAGCAGCCGCGGUAAUACGAAGGGUGCAAGCGUUAAUCGGAAUUACUGGGCGUAAAGCGCGCGUAGGUGGUUCAGCAAGUUGGAUGUGAAAUCCCCGGGCUCAACCUGGGAACUGCAUCCAAAACUACUGAGCUAGAGUACGGUAGAGGGUGGUGGAAUUUCCUGUGUAGCGGUGAAAUGCGUAGAUAUAGGAAGGAACACCAGUGGCGAAGGCGACCACCUGGACUGAUACUGACACUGAGGUGCGAAA
rnacentral:rRNA from 1 species